UACGGGGGGGGUAAGCGUUGUUCGGAAUUACUGGGCGUAAAGGGCUCGUAGGCGGCCAACUAAGUCAUACGUGAAAUCCCUCAGCUUAACUGGGGAACUGCGUGUGAUACUGGAUGGCUUGGAUUUGGGAGAGGGAUGCGGAAUUCCAGGUGUAGCGGUGAAAUGCGUAGAUAUCUGGAGGAACACCUGCGGCGAAGGCGGGUUGCUGGGCCGACACUGACGCUGAGGCGCGAAAGCCAGGGGAGCGAACGGG
rnacentral:rRNA from 1 species